rnacentral:rRNA from 1 species
CACGUAGGGCGCAAGCGUUGUCCGGAAUUAUUGGGCGUAAAGAGCUCGUAGGUGGUUUGUUACGUCCGCUGUGAAAUCCUAGGGCUUAACCCUGGGCUUGCAGUGGAUACGGGCAGACUAGAGGUAGGUAGGGGAGAAUGGAAUUCCUGGUGUAGCGGUGAAAUGCGCAGAUAUCAGGAGGAACACCGGUGGCGAAGGCGGGUCUCUGGGACGGUACUGACGCUGGAGACGCGAAAGCGUGGGGAGCGAACAGG